AGGAUGAACGCUGGCGGCGUGCCUAACACAUGCAAGUCGAGCGAUUCUCUUCGGAGAAGAGCGGCGGACGGGUGAGUAACGCGUGGGUAACCUGCCCUGUACACACGGAUAACAGUACCGAAAGGUAUGCUAAUACGAGAUAAUAUACUUUUAUCGCAUGGUAGAAGUAUCAAAGCUCCGGCGGUACAGGAUGGACCCGCGUCUGAUUAGCUAGUUGGUAAGGUAACGGCUUACCAAGGCGACGAUCAGUAGCCGACCUGAGAGGGUGAUCGGCCACAUUGGAACUGAGACACGGUCCAAACUCCUACGGGAGGCAGCAGUGGGGAAUAUUGCACAAUGGGCGAAAGCCUGAUGCAGCAACGCCGCGUGAGCGAUGAAGGCCUUCGGGUCGUAAAGCUCUGUCCUCAAGGAAGAUAAUGACGGUACUUGAGGAGGAAGCCCCGGCUAACUACGUG
rnacentral:rRNA from 1 species